rnacentral:tRNA from 1 species
GAUGAAAUGCCUGAAAAAGGAUUAUUUUGAUAGAAUAAAACAUGUAUUAGUGUAUACUUUCAUUG